UUCCCGAUGCGCCAUGGGCUCUAGGCUUCUCUGCUGUGUGGCGCUCUGUCUCCUGGGAGCAGGCCCAGUGGCAUCUGGGGUCACCCAAACUCCAACACACCUGAUCCAAACAAGAGGACGGAAAGUGACCCUGAGAUGUUCCCCUGUCUCUGGACAUCUAUCUGUGUACUGGUACCAACAGGUUCCGGGCCAGGGCCCCCGGUUUCUCAUUCAGUAUUACAACAUGGAAGAGAGAGACAAAGGAGACAUGCCAGAACGGUUCUCAGCUCGACAGUUCAGUAACUCCAGCUCCCAGCUGGUCCUGGACUUGCUGGAGUUGGAAGACUCAGCCCUGUAUCUCUGGGCCAGCAGUGAACACAGCCCUACGCGAUCAGCAGCCUACUGUACAAAAAUCCUCCCCACAACCCCCGGGGCAGGAAGUGAUGGGUCGCUGAAUGCUGGCAUCACUCAGACCCCCAAAUUCCAGGUCCUGGGGACAGGACAGAACAUGACACUGAAAUGUCACCAGGAUAUGAACCACAACUCCAUGUACUGGUAUCGACAAGACCAUGGACAUGGGCUGAGGCUGAUCCAUUACUCAGUCCCUGUGAGUGGCCGGCCACUUCUGGGCACACCUAUUUCCCAGAUGAACGGUGGACACAAUUAA